AGUAGUUUGAUCAGUGGCUCGAGGACGACGCUGGCGGCGUGCUUAACACAUGCAAGUCGAACGAUGAACCAGGGCUUGCCCUGGGGAUUAGUGGCGAACGGGUGAGUAACACGUGGGCAACCUGCCCCAGACACCGGGAUAACCUCUCGAAAGAGUGGCUAAUACCGGAUAUGACCACUUCGGGCAUCCGACGGUGGUGGAAAGGAUUCUGGUCUGGGAUGGGCCCGCGGCCUAUCAGCUAGUUGGUGGGGUAAUGGCCUACCAAGGCGACGACGGGUAGCCGGCCUGAGAGGGCGACCGGCCACACUGGGACUGAGACACGGCCCAGACUCCUACGGGAGGCAGCAGUGGGGAAUAUUGCGCAAUGGGCGAAAGCCUGACGCAGCGACGCCGCGUGAGGGACGAAGGUCUUCGGAUUGUAAACCUCUUUCAGCAGGGACGAAGCGAAAGUGACUGUACCUGCAGAAGAAGCACCGGCUAACUACGUG
rnacentral:rRNA from 1 species